rnacentral:rRNA from 1 species
CAAUAGCGUAUAUUAAAGUUGUUGCAGUUAAAAAGCUCGUAGUUGAAUUUUUGCUUGCCGCCGAUGUCGGAACUUCCGUACGUUCGGCGGCGUGCAUCCUUGGGUGGAACCUGUGUGGCAUUAGGUUGUCGUGCGGGGGAUGCUCAUCGUUUACUGUGAAAAAAUUAGAGUGUUCAAAGCAGGCUUACGCCGUUGAAUAUAUUAGCAUGGAAUAAUAAGAUAGGACCUUGUACUAUUUUGUUGGUUUGCGCACCGAGGUAAUGAUUAACAGGGACAGUUGGGGGUAUUCGUAUUCCAUUGUCAGAGGUGAAAUUCUUGGAUUUCUGGAAGACGAACUACUGCGAAAGCAUUUACCAAGGAUGUUUUCAUUA